rnacentral:rRNA from 1 species
UACGUAGGUGGCAAGCGUUGUCCGGAAUUACUGGGUGUAAAGCGCGUGUAGGCGGCAGGCCAAGUCUGCGGUGAAAGCGCCCGGCUCAACUGGGCGAGGUCCGUGGAAACUGGUCAGCUGGAGGACGGUAGAGGCGAGUGGAAUUCCCGGUGUAGUGGUGAAAUGCGUAGAGAUCGGGAGGAACACCUGUGGCGAAGGCGGCUUACUGGUCCGGAACUGACGCUGAGGUGCGAAAGCGUGGGGAGCAAACAGG